CCUGGCACUAUGUUAUUGGAUCACAUGGCUGUUUCUAUUACAACCAGCAAGUGUUACUCGUAUCCACGUGUUCGUGAGAUACGGAUUAGGGUGUAACAAAAAGACAAAGAGAGACAGGGAGAGAAUGAGGGUUUUGGAGAUAAAAGGGCCUGCCACUCUUCCGGCUGCCUACCUCGCCGGCGUCAUAAUCAACGGUGGUUGUUGUACUCUGUGCUCUGCCGUCGCACACGCAUCUCUACCCCACACGAUCCAUGAUGAAGCAAACAUCAGCGCCAAGAUCAGCCAUGGGGGUCUCUUACACAGAAACCCUAAAUCCAUUAUUCACGAAAACCAAUGAUAAAGCUUUCAUCUUCUGCCAUUGUCACAACUAUUAUCGCCGCAUCCACGGCUGCUCUCUCCUCCUCCCAUCUUGAUUCCUCCAUCUAGGAUAUGAGAGGGUGAAAGUGUGGGGAAAGUUGUUUAGAGGAGAUAUUUGCGCCUCUGUUGUGCCAUACGAAGAAGGUAAAAGUCUUUUGUGUUUGUAUGUAAAUAUAUCGUUGAAAAUCCACAAUUUUUUAGGUUUCUAGAAAAGGGUUGUGUAUUCUUGAUUUAGCUUGUCAAUCUAUAAGCAAUCUAAAAGCUAUUGCUUUAUAUAGAUUUUAAAUUUGAACACAAUGGGUUAAUUUUGGAGACAUGUGUUGAAGGACAUUGGCAGUUAUGUGUGCUUUUGCGGAUUUUCAUGUUAUUACCUUUUAAACAUGAAAAUAUCUUAGGAUUUAGUCAAGGCUAUGGUGAUGCAUUGCAGCUCUUUUGUAUGAGCUUGAGCAAGGAUAAGAUUUCAGUGUGUCUUCGUUACAAAGCUGAGAAGGUCAUGUAAUUGACUAUGCCAUCACACGGCAACUGGUUUUUGUACAACCAUGACAGGUUUGCUUUACUUCUUUGAUUGAUUAUUUAUCUGAGCAUAAUCAUUGUCUUUGGCCAGCUCAUAAUUUCCUAAUCACUUAUUUUCACUAUUUCAGUUACAAGGGGCUAUGACGGUUAAUGGUUCUUACAUAGCUAUGUUGUCUUUAUCCUUUUGAUCUUACCAAUUAUGACUUAUUGUUUUCACCAUUAUCAUUUUCCUUUUCAUGACUGAGAAAAUUCUAUUGACUCAUGUUUCCUUUUCUUUCUA